GUGGGCAGCAAACUCGCGAGGGUGAGCUAAUCUCCAAAAGUUGUCUCAGUUCGGAUUGUUCUCUGCAACUCGAGAGCAUGAAGGCGGAAUCGCUAGUAAUCGCGGAUCAGCAUGCCGCGGUGAAUACGUUCCCAGGCCUUGUACACACCGCCCGUCACACCAUGGGAGUUGGAUUCACCCGAAGGCGCUGCGCUAACCCGCAAGGGAGGCAGGCGACCACGGUGGGUUUAGCGACUGGGGUGAAGUCGUAACAAGGUAGCCGUAGGGGAACCUGCGGCUGGAUCACCUCCUUUCUAAG
rnacentral:rRNA from 1 species